AUGCCAGGCUCCCUGCCCCACCCACCGCCUCUCGCUGCCGUUUCUUCAGAGCCUGGCUCCCGGCCAGUACUGGCCCUUCUAGCUCCUGGGGGAAGGGCUGGCCUGGCUGUUCUGUCUUGUUUUGUUUCCAGGCGGGGUUUUAGGAUGGGUGAAGGUGCGUCGGCUCUUCAGGAAGUCGAGGGGAAAUUGACACGCUUGGCAAGGGCAUCCAAACCUCAAAUCACUCACUUCAUCCAGCCAAAGGUGGAGGAGACGGUACAGGGCGAUUUCCCAGGGUUGCUGGCCCUGGCAGGAGUGGUGCGGACGGCAGCAUCUUCAAGACCGCUCGUCCUCUCUGACCUUCAGCAGCCAGACCACGGGCAGCAGUGGGGCUGUUGUGUUGGGGUUCGCCUUCGCAGCCUUCUUUGUCUCAUUGCCCACGGAAGAAGAUUCCUUUUGAAGAUGAUCAAGGAGACAAAGGGACAGAGAGAUUUGUGUUUCUACGCAAAAUGUUAUUCUUCUGCCAAGGAUUGCUGUAUCAUCACAUUAACAAUAAGAUAAACAAACUUGACAAAAAUUCACUGAGAACAAUAAGCGGUGGUAAUUGCAUAUUCUCGUCUUAGGUAUUUCCUUUUUGUUCUCAAUUAAAAAGCAGUCCCAGCAGUUGUGUAUGCUGUAUCAUUUGUUCACCUUAAAUAAAUACUUUUGAAUCUAAAAAUAUAAGCAGAAAUAAAACUUUCUGAAAAAAAUAAAAAAGCUGAUACUCAGAAUCACAUCAAAAAUGAGAAAUGGAUUUUUAGGGGAUCAGGAUGGUUUUCAAGCCGCUGAGGUUUCCUGACAAGCCAGCUCUGUUUACAGUUCUAGAUCCAUGAGGGUCUCAGCCCUAGACAUAUAGCUGAAUGGUGCAGAUGCCCAGGAGAAUAUUUGAGGUCUGCUUAGACUUCACAGAACUAUGAGUUGACUACACUCACUGGCAGAUAUUGCAGGAAAGAACAGGAUUUGAAUUAGCAUUCGGUCAGCUCACAGCUAUGACCUACUAGUGCAUUUUAAUUCACUCUGCUUGAAUUCAGCACACGAUUCUCAACUGUGACUAGCAGUGCACACAUCUGGGACCCCUACUAGAGGUGGUGCACAAGCGUGAAUUUGCCACGUUUAGGGGCACAGGCUCAGCCAUACACUUCUCUCUCCAGAUUACCAAUGGAAAUGACCAGGGAAACUUCAGGAAGAAGCAAAGUGGCCGACCACGUUAGCUUCCACACCUGAUCCACGCAGCAGCUGGGCUCUGAGCCCUUCAGGACAGGGUAACCUGUCUCCUCCCACCUGACCUAUGGGCUUUUAAGCAGCCGGCUCUAGCAUGGAGAGAGAAAGCUCUCACACGGCCUCCUUUGCUGUGCUCACACUUCCCACACGACUUGCUGAAACCAGCGUGUCAGGACAGACACACUCAUAAUAAAACCAGAAAGAAGUGACAGUGCUGGCAAUUUAUACCUGGGCCACGUGCCAGAACUGGCUCCGGGGAGGAGGUGUGUGGAUGGGAGGAAUGCCCUGCUCGCAACCCUUUGCAAAAACAAAGGUUAGGGCUGUAUUAACUGAGGGCUGCUGGCAGACUCUGGCUUAAGGGGUUUUUUUUCCCCCAGAACCUUUGGAGAUGGGGCCUCAACUAAGAUCAACAAGGGGGCUUUUAGACCCCAGACAUGUAUACAGACCCAGCAGAGCCGGCCAGGUGAAAGGGCAGGACCCCCAUUCCCAGCCCUGCUUUGGCCCAUGGAAGCCCCAUCUUUUCAGUGUUNNNNNNNNNGUCAUCUAUGCAGCCUCUGUACACCUAAAACUGUCUGAGUUUUUUAAAAAUCUGACAGCAUUUCUGUGUCUACAGUUCAUGGGGUCACAAAGAGUCAGACAAGACUGAAAAGACAGCACGCACGCAUUUCUGAGUCAGGAAUUCGUGGAUGGCUUAAGGGUGUGUUUUGGGUUCAGGGUCUCUCAUGACGUUAAGAUAUCAGCCUGGGCUACAGUCACCUAAAGUUCUGACAGGGGUAAGAGGACCNNNNNNNNNNNNNNNNNNNNNNNNNNNNNNNNNNNNNNNNNNNNNNNNNNNNNNNNNNNNNNNNNNNNNNNNNNNNNNNNNNNNNNNNNNNNNNNNNNNACAGGGGAAAGAGGACCCAUUUCAUCCAAGAUGCUCACUCACAUCAUUUUCCCUGGGAAGUCAGUGCUGGCUGACAGCAGAAGGCCUCAGCUCCUUGAUGUGUGGACCAUAUCCACUCACAUCGUUGCUUGAGUGUUCUCAUGACACCGGCUUCCCCCACGGUGAGUGAUACAGGCGACAGCAAAAUGGAAGUCACGAUGUCUCUUAUGUUCUGGCCUUGGAAGUCACACACACUUGGCUACACAAGUCACCCUGCUUAACAGGGAGGGAACUACACCAGGACAUGAAUAUUGGGAGGCAGGGGUCCUUGGGGGCCAUCUUGGAGGCUGGCUACCUUGGCUGCCUCGUGGCUCUACUGCUGCCCACGGGAAAUGAUCUUCUCUCAAGAGCUAUACAAACACCAGGGCUGGGACUUCCCUCACAGUCCAGUGGCUAAGAUUCUGUGCUCCCAAUGCAGGGGGUCCAGGUUCAGGUCCCGGUCAGGGAACUAGAUCCAACAUGCUGCAACUAAGACUUGGUACAGACAAAAAACAAAACAAAACAAAACNNNNNNNNNNNNNNNNNNNNNNNNNNNNNNNNNNNNNNNNNNNNNNNNNNNNNNNNNNNNNNNNNNNNNNNNNNNNNNNNNNNNNNNNNNNNNNNNNNNACCUGAGCUCUUCCCAAGAGCCAUACAAAUCUGAUGCUCAUGGUAAUGUCCAAGUGUCUUUCUAGAAAAGAGUCAACGUUCUUGACCUGUCUGCCUCAACUAGGGGGUGGUUCAGUGUCCAGCCCCAGCCACCACAUCUCGGCUGUGUAGCAGCAAGCACAUUUGUGACAAAUGCUGACAGUAACCUAGUCACUCACUAUCCAGGCGCACACCAUGGCUUAGAUGCAGCUUGAAAGCAAGGCCCACCCCCAGAGAAACUUCUAGAUGGAGUAUUGCUCUAAAAUGAGCCUUUGGUGGCCUCAAAGACUGAAUAAGCCUAUCUAAGUGUCCGAGUUAUACCUGUGAGGCUCUGGGGAGAAUGUGCCCUCACUGUAUUCCUGGAGGGCAAAUAAAGCUUGCUGACUCAGGAGGGAGACAAGACGCUCAACGGUAGUAGUUCUGGGGGUUCAACUUUGGUGGCUGUCUGCAGAAACUCCAGUGAUCUGCAAGAUAAUCUGACCUAAUUUCAACUGUAAACUUAAAAAUCGACUGAACAGAUAGCACAUACCUGGCUGUUUAGAAACAUUAUCUCCUUUAAUCUUCAGAGGAACCCUUAGGUAAGAAUCAUGACCACCAUUUCAUAAACCUGCAAACUGAAGCUCAGGGAGGUUAAAUGACACACCCAAUGUCCCAGCUAGGAGACAUGGGCUCAGAAUUUUCCAGUCUGAUUGUGUCUGACCCCAGAGCCCAUGUUAUACACUCUCUGAGACCUUUCCAACUGAGAAGAGAACAUAUACCCAGGAAAGAGGGAGGAGAGGACAGGGUCCCCACACUGCCACGGCCCAGCAUCAGGGGCAGGAAGACGGAUAGAGGCAGAGGGCCGAAGAGGGACAAACUAAUGGCAUUUGCUGUUGGGAGUGACCAGUCUAAGGAUGUUCUUCGGCUCAUCUCUUGGCCCCCUUCUCCUCAGCCUAGGAGACAGAGACGCCAGAUGGGUCUCAGGGGGCAGCAAACUUCGCAUCUUCCUCCAGCUCCAAGGAGAGUCGGGUUGUUAAUAAUAAGUUACUCUAGGCUGGCCUCCUGCUAAGUUAAGCAUCACUUUUAAAAAAUCCUCACAUCAUUAUUGUAAGGUAAGCAUUACUGCCGCUUUUAAUAGUUGGGGAGAAGGAAGAUUGGGGAGUUUAGGGACAUCCCCAAGAUUAAAAGACCCCAGGUGUCAAAGCUCACAUUUCAACCCAGGCAUCUGACUUUAGGCCCAUCAAGCAUGUAACACCAUGUUCUACUAGACAGAGGUUGAGGGUCGUGGACGACCGCGUGGCCCUUUCAGGGCGGGGUGACAGUGGCAGCCCGCGACCAGGGAGGGGCAGGGUCGCCAGUCCUCCUGAGGGACGCAUGCGGAUGGCUCCAGCCGGGCUCAGGCAGCCACAUGGGAGCCUGCUCCUCCGGGACCCACCCGACCCUGUUGCUUGGGGGCCGGGCCCGCAGCGGUCCUGGCCUUGGCCUUGCCCGAGUCGGAAGGCAGCCUCAUGCUCGGCUGGACAGCAACUGAGGUGCUCUGGAUGGGUGAGCUAGAGAGGGAGGUAUCCAGGCUUAGGCGUGCGCCAAGGACCGGGGCGUGGGGCUCUGAACCCAGAUCACACCCCCGAUCCCUGUCCCCCGGCGAUCCCCACCCCGCACCACCCGCCUCCCACCGCCAGUGGUCUGUCUGCCCGUCUGGCCGGAGCCUCCGCCGGGUGCGGCCGGACGGUGGUGGGUGACUGGGGGAAGGGAGGGGACGCCCUGCUCCUCGGCCGCCGACCCCGGAGGCUUUGUGUAUUCGGAACCGGAUUCCCCACCUCCCUCCCCCGCCUCCCAUUCCCG
rnacentral:lncRNA from 1 species